GGGGAUGUCGUUCAACGGCAGGACUCUGGUCUCCAAAACCAGUAAUCUAGGUUCGAAUCCUGGCAUCCCCGCCA
rnacentral:tRNA from 2 species